UUCGUUCCGAUAAUUAUGUGUAUUGAACUGUUCUUGAGCAGUAAAUUUUGGGUUAAAAGUAGUAAGGAAGUUUGUGUAAAGUAAAGUUUGGUUUUAAGUUUUAAACAUUUGCAAAUAAUGAUAAAUGUUUAAAGGACCGCAACAUUGUGUCGUAAUGGAAUAUUUGCAGUUGACGUAAGGGACAUCACGAAUUCGUCCAAAAGG